GAUGAAGAACGUAGCGAAAUGCGAUAAGUAAUGUGAAUUGCAGAAUUCAGUGAAUCAUCGAAUCUUUGAACGCACAUUGCGCCCCCUGGCAUUCCGGGGGGCAUGCCUGUCCGAGCGUCAUUACAACCCUCAAGCUCAGCUUGGUGUUGGGCCCCGCCGCCCCGGCGGGCCCUAAAGUCAGUGGCGGUGCCGUCCGGCUCCGAGCGUAGUAAUUCUUCUCGCUCUGGAGGUCCGGUCGCGUGCUCGCCAGCAACCCCCAAUUUUUUUCAGGUUGACCUCGGAUCAGGUAGGGAUACCCGCUGAACUUAAGCAUAUCAAUAAGCGGGGA
rnacentral:misc_RNA from 1 species